AACGAACGCUGGCGGCAUGCCUAACACAUGCGAGUCGAACGAGACCUUCGGGUCUAGUGGCGCACGGGUGCGUAACGCGUGGGAACCUGCCCUUAGGUUCGGAAUAACUCCCCGAAAGGGGUGCUAAUACCGGAUAAUGUCUUCGGACCAAAGAAUUAUCGCCUUUGGAUGGGCCCGCGUUGGAUUAGCUAGUUGGUAGGGUAAAAGCCUACCAAGGCGACGAUCCAUAGCUGGUCUGAGAGGAUGAUCAGCCACACUGGGACUGAGACACGGCCCAGACUCCUACGGGAGGCAGCAGUGGGGAAUAUUGGACAAUGGGCGAAAGCCUGAUCCAGCAAUGCCGCGUGAGUGAUGAAGGCCUUAGGGUUGUAAAGCUCUUUUACCCGGGAUGAUAAUGACAGUACCGGGAGAAUAAGCUCCGGCUAACUCCGUG
rnacentral:rRNA from 1 species